UACGUAGGGUGCAAGCGUUAUCCGGAAUUAUUGGGCGUAAAGAGCUCGUAGGCGGUUUGUCGCGUCUGCUGUGAAAACUGGAGGCUCAACCUCCAGCCUGCAGUGGGUACGGGCAGACUAGAGUGCGGUAGGGGAGAUUGGAAUUCCUGGUGUAGCGGUGGAAUGCGCAGAUAUCAGGAGGAACACCGGUGGCGAAGGCGGGUCUCUGGGCAGUAACUGACGCUGAGGAGCGAAAGCGUGGGAGCGAACAGG
rnacentral:rRNA from 1 species